GUUAUCAAUUAUGUCGUGGAAAAGUUGGUUCUUGACAAGCCUUUGGAUAGCGUAAACUCGGAUGGGACUUUUGCUCCUGGUUUACAUGGAACUACUGGAGUGGAUGACUCAUCCCGGAUUGGGCCGAAGCCUUCGCAAAAGCAUAAGCCAUCUAUAGAGAUCCUGUGCAAUAACCAGGUUUUAUCCCCUGAAAUGAGCUUAGCAACUGUACGGGCCUAUAUAUGGAAGAAACCUGAAGAUCUUGUACUU
rnacentral:misc_RNA from 1 species